rnacentral:rRNA from 1 species
AACAGAUGAUGCCUAUCAAACUGUUUAAAGUAUGGUUCUGCUAUCACUCUUGGGAUGGACCGUGCGGUGCAUUAGCUAGUUGGUAGGGUAACGGGCCUACCAAGGCGAUGAUGCAUAGCCCGAGUUGAGAGACUGAUCGGCCACAUUGGGGACUGAGACACGGGCCCAAACUCCUACGGGAGGCAGCAGUAGGGAAUCUUCCACAAUGGACGCAAGUCUGAUGGAGCAAACGCCGCGUGAGUGAAGAAGGGUUUCGGCUCGUAAAAAGCUCUGUUGUUGGUGAAGAAGGACAGGGGUAGUAACUGACCCUUUGUUUGACGGUAAUCAAUUAGAAAGUCACGGGCUAACUACGUGCCAGCAGCCGCGGUAU